rnacentral:rRNA from 1 species
GGGGACAGUGCAUGGUGGGCAGUUUGACUGGGGCGGUCUCCUCCCAAAGUGUAACGGAGGAGUUCGAAGGUACGCUAGGUACGGUCGGAAAUCGUGCUGAUAGUGCAAUGGCAUAAGCGUGCUUGACUGUGAGACUGACAAGUCGAACAGGUGCGAAAGCAGGACAUAGUGAUCCGGUGGUUCUGAAUGGAAGGGCCAUCGCUCAACGGAUAAAAGGUACUCUGGGGAUAACAGGCUGAUACCGCCCAAGAGUUCAUAUCGACGGCGGUGUUUGGCACCUCGAUGUCGGCUCAUCUCAUCCUGGGGCUGUAGCCGGUCCCAAGGGUAUGGCUGUUCGCCAUUUAAAGAGGUACGUGAGCUGGGUUUAAAA